GAAAAUAGGGAAAUUCACAUCGCGAGACUGAUUGGAGGGAGAAGGAGAAGAGGGAGACAAGAAGAAGAAGAAGAGGAAUCUGGGUAAUUGGAUUGCCCGACGUGGAGAGAAAGAGAAGUGCGCCGAUCAGGUCUUCCACAAGCGGAAGGAGUUUCUAGGUGAUAAGAGACACCGGGAUAGACGUCUUCUGGGUCUUUAACGAGAGGAAGAGGUCUUCUGCGAGAUUACAGAAAGAAGAAAAGGGUUGUGAGAGGUCUUCUGCGAGAGACAUGCACAGUAGAAGAAUAGGGAAAUUCACAUCGCGAGACUGAUCGGAGAGAGAAGGAGAAGAGGGAGACAAGAAGAAGAAGAGGAAUCUGGGUAAUUCCGUAAUUGGAUUGCCCGACGUAGAGAGAAAGAGAAGUGCGCCGAUCAAGUCUUCCACAAGCGGAAGGAGUUUCUAGGUCUUUUACUUUUCCACUUCUACCAUAAGCCUGUACGAUUAUUUCUGUCUUCUGCGAUGAUGAUUGUUUUAAAUUCUCGGCGUGACAUCAUUGAGGUGAUGCUAACUUUAUGUUCUUUGGGGACCUUGAAGAGAAUAUUAUUUUAGCAGGGUAAAGGGAACCCAAUCAUAGCAAGUGUUUAUUUCUUCGUUAGCUACCUUUUGAUUGGAUCCAGUGGAUUACUAUUUGAUAGAAAGCGCAAGGAUUCCUCCGCUGGUAAAUUUUUGCCAUCAACAAUGUUUGAUUUUUCAGAGACCUAGCUUUUUAGGUUCGAUUAGGUAAAGAUUUGAUUUCAAAACUACUUAUCUGUUUCCAACAGUCUGAUUUGUAAAGGAGGCAUUCCAUUUUAGCAGCUGGGUUGUCAUAAAGUUAUAUAGGCAUUGCAAUGAUU